rnacentral:rRNA from 1 species
UACAGAGGGUGCGAGCGUUAAUCGGAAUUACUGGGCGUAAAGCGCGCGUAGGCGGCUUUGCAAGUCGGGUGUGAAAUCCCCAGGCUUAACCUGGGAACUGCAUUCGAGACUGCAUUGCUAGAGUAUGGGAGAGGGAAGUGGAAUUUCCGGUGUAGCGGUGAAAUGCGUAGAUAUCGGAAGGAACAUCAGUGGCGAAAGCGACUUCCUGGACCAAUACUGACGCUCAUGUGCGAAAGCGUGGGGAGAAAAAAGG